GACGAACGCUGGCGGCGUGCCUAAUACAUGCAAGUUGAGCGCUGAAGGUUGGUACUUGUACCAACUGGAUGAGCAGCGAACGGGUGAGUAACGCGUGGGGAAUCUGCCUUUGAGCGGGGGACAACAUUUGGAAACGAAUGCUAAUACCGCAUAAAACCUUUAAACACAAGUUUUAAGUUUGAAAGAUGCAACUGCAUCACUCAAAGAUGAUCCCGCGUUGUAUUAGCUAGUUGGUGAGGUAAAGGCUCACCAAGGCGAUGAUACAUAGCCGACCUGAGAGGGUGAUCGGCCACAUUGGGACUGAGACACGGCCCAAACUCCUACGGGAGGCAGCAGUAGGGAAUCUUCGGCAAUGGACGAAAGUCUGACCGAGCAACGCCGCGUGAGUGAAGAAGGUUGUCGGAUCGUAAAACUCUGUUGGUAGAGAAGAAAGUUGGUGAGAGUGGAAAGCUCAUAAAGUGACGGUAACUACCCAGAAAGGGACGGCUAACUACGUG
rnacentral:rRNA from 1 species